CGCCCAACAGCUAGCCCACUCAUCAACCCCAAAUUUACCCUAUUAAUAUCCCCAAACACACCACUAUCCAACAACAAACCAUUUUCCCACCUAAGUACGGGCGACGAAAAAGGAUUAUAGGAGCAACAGAGAAAGUACCGCAAGGGAAAGCUGAAAGAGCAAUGAAACAACCCAGUAAAGCACUAAAAAGCAGAGAGCCCCCCUCGUACCUUUUGCAUCAUGAUUUAGCCAGUAAACUUUAAGCAAAAAGCAUUAUAGUUUAACACCCCGAAACUAAGCGAGCUACUCCAAGGCAGUCUAAUUUGUAGGACCCCCCCCGUCUCUGUGGCAAAAGAGUGGGACGAACUUUGAGUAGAGGUGAUAAACCUACCGAGCCUAGUUAUAGCUGGUUGCCUGAAAACUGAAUAGAAGUUCAGCCCUUUAAAUUCUCCCCCCCCCCUUGGCUUAAGACCUUAACACCGGACAAACAGAAGUUAAAGGAGUUAGUCAAAGGGGGGACAGCCCCUUUGAAACAAGACACAACUUUCCAAGGAGGAUAAAGAUCACAACAAACUCUAAAGGUUAAAUGUUUUAGUGGGCCUAAAAGCAGCCAUCUACUCAGAAAGCGUUAAAGCUCGAACAUACGCAACCAGCCUUCCAAUACAGACAACACAAUCUCACCCCCCUAAACCUAUCAGGCCGUUCCAUAAAAAUUAUGGAAGCGCUUAUGCUAAAAUGAGUAAUAAAAAAACCCCCUUCUCUCCCCGCACAAGUGUAAAUCGGAACGAACCAUUCCCCGACCAUUAACGGCCCCAAAACAAAGAGGGCACUAGACAAAAAAUAAACAACUAGAAAACCACCUAUCCCCCCCCCGUUAACCCCACACUGGUGUGCCAGCCGGGAAAGACUAAAAGAAAAAGAAGGAACUCGGCAAACACAAGCCUCGCCUGUUUACCAAAAACAUCGCCUCUUGAAGCCCAAAAUAUAAGAGGUCCCGCCUGCCCUGUGAC
rnacentral:rRNA from 1 species